rnacentral:misc_RNA from 1 species
GAUGAAGAACGUAGCGAAAUGCGAUACUUGGUGUGAAUUGCAGAAUCCCGUGAACCAUCGAGUCUUUGAACGCAAGUUGCGCCCGAAGCCAUUAGGCCGAGGGCACGCCUGCCUGGGCGUCACACGUCGUUGCCCCCCCAUCUACUCCUUCGGGAUUGCGGGGGGCGGAUGAUGGCCUCCGUGCGCCUCGUCGCGCGGUUGGCAUAAAUGCCAAGUCCUCGGCGACGCACGCCACGACAAUCGGUGGUUGCGAAACCUCGGUUGCCCGUCGUGUGCGGUCGUCGCGCAUCGAGGGCUCGAAAAAAUUGCCGGGCUCCGGCUCGGCUUUCAACGCGACCCCAGGUCAGGCGGGGUUACCCGCUGAAUUUAAGCAUAUCAAUAAGCGGAGGA